UUUAAUAGUAUUCUAUCAACUCAGAUGUCUCGUUCUCACCCUCACUAUCGAACUCUGAGUUGUAAAUCACAUUCAACUUCACAAACUGAGAACUCUAACUCACCCUCGAUUUCACGAAAUCAAAAGUCACGAACCGAGUACUCAAACUUACCCCUCGCCAUCACAAUCUCAAACCUUGUCGAUUUCACCUCCGUCAAUUUCACCCCGUCGAUUUCACCUCCGUCAAUUUCACCCCGUCGAUUUCACCCCGUCGAUUUCACCAUUGUCAAUUUCACCCUCACCUUUUCAUCCUGCACUCUUCUCUGCAAAUCGAGGGUUAGGGUUUCAACUAUGACUUUGAUUUUCAAAAUCUUCUCGCGAAACCCUUAUUUGUGAGAACCAUUGACCUAUUUUUCAAGAACCCCAGAUAUUGAUGAUCACCUCGCGUCGGAGGAAACUUCGAGGAUCCUUUGCCUUUUUACCCCGCCCGAAGAGACAUCAAUGAUACAUCAAUGAAAGAUAAGUUGUUUUUUCGAACGUACAUUAAUUUUGAACAAAAUCCUGGUAAAUUAGAAGUUAUAAAUUCCUUCAUCAGUUUUGAUAUUAUAUGAAUAUGGCAGGGUUAUUCACGAUUUAUGUUUGGCUUAUGCUCUUGACGUACUUGUCAAUAUUGUUUAUGAAUUUGUCUAUGAGAUGAUCUUCUUUUAUGGUUAAGCCAGAGGGAUUGUAACUCGUCGACAUUCUAUCCAUGACGGCUAUGAUCCCGGUAACCAAACCCGUAUUUGUACGGGGUAGAGAGGAGAUUCAAUAAUACUGAGCCUUGUUGGGUUUGACAAAACAGGGGUUUAUGAGUCGGAUAAACCAUUAGGGCAGUCUUAGCAUCAAAUAGACUUACUCUUCCUAGAGAAAACAGAAAUCCAGUACCAGGCAAGAUUCAAAGAUCAUGGUCAUAUCUUGAUCACAAUAGCUGUUACUCAGAUAAGUGUAUCCUUUCCUUUAUAUCAAUAUAAUAGGCUGGAGUGACAUGUUGGAUGUUUAGGUUAAUCGAUACCGGCAAAAGGGGAAAGAAGUGACCAAACUACCGAUGUCGAGGUCGCUGUGAUAACAUGUUUAUAGGGAUAGAAAUCUGAUGUAAUUCGCAAGCCUUCAGGUUGCAGAGCCACCGUGACUUUAAUGUAUUUGUUGUUCCUGAACUUGGCUAUUUUGUAACACAAGAUGUUUACUUAUUUCUGUUUAUUAUGGUAACGUUUUAGUUGAUCAAGCAGAUCAGCAGUAUUCCUUUCCAAUUACUGCUUGUUCCUGUCAUGAUUGCAAUGGAGCUGCCGAGAAAAUGGAUGGAAAUGACGACGCGGAGUCUUUCGAUGAAAGUCAAAUGAUUAGAGAUUGUGAUCAGAUGAUUAUGUAUUUAAAUUGAAUUAAUAGCUGUUUUGUGUAUUUAAAUUGAAUUAGUAGAUGUGUUUUUAAUUUAAUGCCUCCCCAAUGUAAUAAUUAGUAAUGAUUUUGGUAUAUCAGAAUUGAACUCUGUUGAUUCAGUGGGGCAAAGAUCUACCCAGCAAGAGGCAUCAUAUUUAUUCAUCGUGAUUCACAUGUCAUAUAAUUCUGACAUGUAUUGAGUUAUGGGUUUACUCAUUUAUUUAUUAAAAUAUUUGUGUUGUGUUUGAUAAUAUUUGUUUAAUUUUAGUUUUAUUGAUAUAUAAUCUCUUUGUUGAUUUUGCAGGAAUUUCUAUUUGUGAACUCGAAAUGUAAGAGGUAUUCCCACAACCGUUUGAAGCCUUAGAAGCUCACAUGGACUGCCAUGUACAUAAAGCAGCACAAGAAGUUUUAUGAAUGUGAUGUGCACGAUAUUGCCCAAGAGGCUGUGAAGAAGAGGCAAAUGUGCCACCAAGAAGCCAUACUCUAGGUCCAUGGUUGGUGUUGCCCUGGAAGUCAUUCAGAAUAAAAGAGUUGAGAAGCUUGAAGUUCGAGAUACAGCCAGAGAAGAUGCUAUCCGGUGUGGUUCUUAUAUAUGCACCUGGUUGUCAUUAAAGAUGCAUACAAAACUAAAGCAAGGCUAAGUGAGCUUUUUUAAUCAAACAUAAAUGCCGGAAGUACGAAAAUGCUUGACAAAACCAACCUUAUUUAUGACCAGAGAUUGGAAUCACUUGCUAAUGGUAAACGUUCGUCUUAGUCUAGCUAUCGAGUUGCAGAUAAUGGAACUUCAAGAGGCACAAAUGAACUUUCUUAUGUAUUUUUGACAUAAUGAUACUUAUUAUUAUAAUAUUAGGAUUUGAUAUGUUUUUCGGUUUUUUAUACUACAUGAUAUGAUUAUGGAAUUCGCAUUUUAGAUGAUUAUGAAUUUUUUU